AGAGUUUGAUCAUGGCUCAGAGCGAACGCUGGCGGCAGGCUUAACACAUGCAAGUCGAGCGGACGUAGCAAUACGUCAGCGGCAGACGGGUGAGUAACGCGUGGGAACGUACCUUUUGGUUCGGAACAACCCAGGGAAACUUGGGCUAAUACCGGAUAAGCCCUAACGGGGAAAGAUUUAUCGCCGAAAGAUCGGCCCGCGUCUGAUUAGCUAGUUGGUGAGGUAAUGGCUCACCAAGGCGACGAUCAGUAGCUGGUCUGAGAGGAUGAUCAGCCACAUUGGGACUGAGACACGGCCCAAACUCCUACGGGAGGCAGCAGUGGGGAAUAUUGGACAAUGGGCGCAAGCCUGAUCCAGCCAUGCCGCGUGAGUGAUGAAGGCCCUAGGGUUGUAAAGCUCUUUUGUGCGGGAAGAUAAUGACGGUACCGCAAGAAUAAGCCCCGGCUAACUUCGUGCCAGCAGCCGCGGUAAUACGAAGGGGGCUAGCGUUGCUCGGAAUCACUGGGCGUAAAGGGUGCGUAGGCGGGUCUUUAAGUCAGGGGUGAAAUCCUGGAGCUCAACUCCAGAACUGCCUUUGAUACUGAGGAUCUUGAGUUCGGGAGAGGUGAGUGGAACUGCGAGUGUAGAGGUGAAAUUCGUAGAUAUUCGCAAGAACACCAGUGGCGAAGGCGGCUCACUGGCCCGAUACUGACGCUGAGGCACGAAAGCGUGGGGAGCAAACAGGAUUAGAUACCCCAGUAGUCC
rnacentral:rRNA from 1 species